rnacentral:lncRNA from 1 species
AUAAAUUGAUUUCCCAUCGAAUCUUUUUAAGUUUAGUAUAUUGCUAGACAUGAUGUAUAGCACUUAUCUUAAAGUUGAUUUUGUUGGUGUCACGUAAAUUAGUAGAAUUUGUAAACAUAAUAAUAUCUUUCUCCAUAGUCUUUGGGAUUGAUUUUGUUUAAAAAGAGAAUUGAAUAUCUUUCUCUGUCUCCCCCCUUUAA